AGAGUUUGAUCCAGGCUCAGAUUGAACGCUAGCGGGAUGCCUUACACAUGCAAGUCGAACGGCAGCACGGACUUCGGUCUGGUGGCGAGUGGCGAACGGGUGAGUAAUGUAUCGGAACGUGCCCAGUAGCGGGGGAUAACUACGCGAAAGCGUGGCUAAUACCGCAUACGCCCUACGGGGGAAAGCAGGGGAUCGUAAGACCUUGCACUAUUGGAGCGGCCGAUAUCGGAUUAGCUAGUUGGUGGGGUAACGGCUCACCAAGGCGACGAUCCGUAGCUGGUUUGAGAGGACGACCAGCCACACUGGGACUGAGACACGGCCCAGACUCCUACGGGAGGCAGCAGUGGGGAAUUUUGGACAAUGGGGGAAACCCUGAUCCAGCCAUCCCGCGUGUGCGAUGAAGGCCUUCGGGUUGUAAAGCACUUUUGGCAGGAAAGAAACGUCGCGGGUUAAUACCCCGUGAAACUGACGGUACCUGCAGAAUAAGCACCGGCUAACUACGUGCCAGCAGCCGCGGUAAUACGUAAGGUGCAAGCGUUAAUCGGAAUUACUGGGCGUAAAGCGUGCGC
rnacentral:rRNA from 2 species